rnacentral:sRNA from 1 species
AGGGUCACGUGGGCGUCCGGAAACCCUGGCCGCAGCGCCAGGGGUGAGCUGGCGGCGGGGGAGGCGGGCAGCGGAGCCAAGCUGACCCGGCGAGCGGAGCCGGGGCUGGAGAGCGGCGACCACUGCGGAUCUCGGAAGGAAGAAAUGAUGUAAAUCACUCAUCCAAACUUUAAGGUCAAAGGUGAGAAGGAAGGUCAGGAAGAACAUGGCCUGGCCAAAUGUUUUUCAGAGAGGGUCUCUGCUGUCCCAGUUCAGCCAUCAUCAUGUUGUAGUGUUCCUGCUCACUUUCUUCAGAUCUGGAGCAGCAACCAUUUGUUCCCCAGUGCAGAGAAAGCGACUCUUUUCCUCGGAACACUGGAUACCAUUUUCCUCUUCUCCUAUGCUGUGGGCCUAUUCAUCAGUGGCAUCGUUGGGGAUCGGUUGAAUUUGCGAUGGGUUCUGUCUUUUGGCAUGUGCUCUUCUGCAUUAGUGGUGUUUGUCUUUGGUGCGCUCACAGAAUGGCUGCGUUUCUACAACAAAUGGCUGUACUGCUGCCUGUGGAUUGUGAACGGCCUGCUGCAGUCCACUGGUUGGCCCUGUGUGGUUGCUGUUAUGGGCAACUGGUUUGGGAAAGCCGG